GACGAACGCUGGCGGCGUGCUUAACACAUGCAAGUCGAACGGAAAGGCCCUGCUUUUGUGGGGUGCUCGAGUGGCGAACGGGUGAGUAACACGUGAGUCACCUGCCCUUGACUUUGGGAUAACUUCAGGAAACUGGGGCUACUACCGGCUAGGAGCUCCUGCUGCAUGGUGGGGGUUGGAACGUUUCGGCGGAUGGGGAUGGACUCGCGGCUUAUCAGCUUGUUGGUGGGGUAGUGGCUUACCAAGGCUUUGACGGAUAGCCGGCCUGAGAGGGUGACCGGCGACAUGGGUACUGAGAGACGGCCCAGACGCCAACGGGAGGCAGCAGGGGGGAAUAUGGCACAAUGGGCGGAAGCCUGAUGCAGCAACGCCGCGUGCGGGAUGACGGCCUUCGGGCUGUAAACCGCUUUCGCCUGUGACGAAGCGUGAGUGACGGUAAUGGGUAAAGAAGCACCGGCUAACUACGUG
rnacentral:rRNA from 1 species